rnacentral:siRNA from 1 species
UUUGAACUUGUGUAUUUUGAAACA